AUGCUAGUCAUAUUCCAAUGGAGAGGGAUCAUUUUCCAUAAUCUUUCAAGCAUCACUGCCAAGUGUCUCAGCACAAACUCCUUUCCUUCUUUUAGGCUCAUAGGAUGUGAUUCAUCUGGGCCAAGUCACUUGAAUUCAUUAAGGGCAGCUAAGGGCACUUUUGCCAUCUCCUUACUUCUUUGGGGUAUUAAUAACAUAGCUUUCCCUUUUGUUCUGCCAUUUCUACUUAAAGGUCAUCUUCCUUUUCAGAAAAAUAAAACAAACAAAAUCAAAUCUGACCAGCUCUGCCUUUUCCCUGAUGUUAGUUAUCAUCUUCCCAUUCACACUAGAAAAAGUUCUCUCUCUCUCUCUCCCUCUCUCUCUCUCUCUCUCUCUCUCUCUCUGUCUCUCUCUCCUCUCUCUCUUUCUCUCUCUCCCUCCCUCUCUGUCUCUCUCUCUCUAUCUCUCUCUGUCUCUGUCUCACUGUCUCUCCUCCCUCUCUCCCUCCCUCUCUCUCUCUCUGUCUGUGUCUCUCUAUCUCUGUCUCUCUGUUUCUCUGUCUCUCUCUGUCUCUGUCUCUCUGUCUCUGUCUCUCUAUCUCUCUGUCUCUGUCUCUCUCUCUCCCUCCUUUGUCGGGGCUGUAGAAUUUCUGAUGCUGUUUAAUUGGACCCUGCCAUACUCAUCAUUAUUGUCAGUUAUCAGACCUUGUAUCCAUCUUUGGUUCAUUUAUGAGUAUUUUUAAAAAUCCAUUGCACACCCAUUUUGGUCAAUUCAUACAUAUCCCAUUUUUUCUCCUCAUUUGAUUUUUUUUUAAUUUUGUGUCUUCUGAAUUUCAUUCCCAACCAUCUAUCAUCCCUCCUGGCCAUUUUAAUACGUGGUCUCCUCCUACCCAUCUUUCCUCAGAAUGCUUUCCAUUCAGAUUCAUGUUAGAAUCUGGGAAGUAGACUUUCUUUAUCCAUUUGACCUCUUUCAUUUAAAGGAGGAAACCAACUGAAUCCUCUGCCAUCAAGGCACUUGCUUCUAUUGGGGCAGGGGGGGGAACAUGCAAGAUGGAAGCAACUAUAAGAUAUACAAUGCAAAAAAAAGUAAUUUUGGAGGAAGUACAACUGGGGGAAUCAUGAAAGUAUUCAAGGAGACAGUCCUUGAGCUGAGUCUCUGAAAGAGCUUGAAGCAUUACAAAAUAAACAGAGGGAGAGAAUUCCA
rnacentral:lncRNA from 1 species